CUUGAGGCUGAGGCAGUGGCUCCUUGCACAGCAGCUGCACGCGCCGUGGCUCCGGAUCUCUUCGUCUUUGCAGCGUAGCCCGAGUCGGUCAGCGCCGGAGACCUCAGCAGCCAUGUCGAAGCCCCAUAGUGAAGCCGGGACUGCCUUCAUUCAGACCCAGCAGCUGCACGCAGCCAUGGCUGACACAUUCCUGGAGCACAUGUGCCGCCUGGACAUUGAUUCACCACCCAUCACAGCCCGGAACACUGGCAUCAUCUGUACCAUUGCCCAGCUUCCCGAUCAGUGGAGACGUUGAAGGAGAUGAUUAAGUCUGGAAUGAAUGUGGCUCGUCUGAACUUCUCUCAUGGAACUCAUGAUACCAUGCGGAGACCAUCAAGAAUGUGCGCACAGCCACGGAAAGCUUUGCUUCUGACCCCAUCCUCUAC
rnacentral:lncRNA from 1 species